rnacentral:lncRNA from 1 species
AAUGCAUUUAAACUAAAAAAAAAAAAAAAAAAACAAAAACCUGAGACUGGGUAAUUUAGAAAGACAAUAGAUUUCUUUAUCUUGUGGUUCUGUAGGCUGAGAAGUUAAAGGGCAUGGCCCUGGUUUCUGGCAAGGGCUUUUGUGCUGUGUCACAACAUAGUGGAAAAGGUCAAAGAGAAAGUGGACACGUGCAAAGAGGGGAAAACCUGAGUGGCAUCCCGGCUUUAUAACAACCCACUGUCGCAGGAACUGAUCCAUUCCUGAGAGAACUAAUCCAGUCUUGUGAGAUGGAGAAUUCACUCACUCCUGCAAGACUGGCACCAAGCCUUUCAUGAAGGAUCCACCCCCAUGACCCAGACACCUCCCACUAGGACCCACCUUCCAACAUUUGGAGAUCAAAUUUCAACAUGAGUUUUGAUGGAGACAAAUAAACCACAUCCAAACCAUAGCACAGGGAUUGCUAAAUACCCCAACAACAGAAAUAGAAAGCUCCCCUAAACACCUUCCUUAACUGAGACCUAGCUAUCUCUGGAGAACCCCACUUCUCCUGUAGGCCUUUCCUCAGAGAUUCUUUCGCUCCUCCAAAUACUUCUGCAUCUGGAGGUGGAGCGGGCCCCUUCUUUGCUGCCCACUGCACCUUCCAGACCAUGACCGCUGUACCUCUCAGGCACUUCCCUUCAUUCUAUCCUUUUGCCCACCCCCUAGUCUUGCCCAAAUCCAAAUCACUUCAACAUUCAUGUGGAAGAUCUAUCCCACAUACCAUGCUUCUUGUUUCUUCGGCCUCCUCACCUCUGUUGGCCUCCCUUUCUGCUCCAGUCACCCACUCUUAGGGCCUCGAGUGGAUCUUGCGAUGGCCCAGAACUGCUGUACCACUGAAAUCUUAACUUCAAUCCCCACAACCUCACAUCUUUCUAACUUUCCCAUCUGAUUACUUCAUUACACUGUUCAACUUUGUUGAGACUUAUAUGAGCUCAUCACAAAAGAAGAAAUCCCAACAUCCAAUAAACAUGGAAAGGUGCUUAACCUCAUCUACCGUCAGGGAAAUGAGGAAUGAGGGAGAAUGGGACAUGAGGAAGGAGCAUGAGAAAACUUUUUGAGGUAAUAGAUAUGUGCAUUAUCUUGAUUGUGGCUCUGGUUUCAAGGAUGUUUACUAAUCAAAUCAUCACUUAAAACAUACGCAGUUUGUUGCACAUCAAUUAUAUAUCAAUAAAGUUGUAAAAUAUACACACACAUAUGGCCCGGUGCAGUGGCUCACACCUGUAAUCCCAGAACUUUGGGAGACCAAGGUGGGUGGAUCACCUGAGGUCAGGAGUUCGAGACCAGCCUGACCAACAUGGAGAAACCCCGUCUCUACUAAAAAUACAAAAUUAGCCGGGCAUGGUGG